AUGGCCUUUAAAGAUUUGUUUUUGAUUUUUAUCUCAAAGAGAAUGCAGAAAAGCAUGGGUCGGGCUCCAGAGAAAAUACACACAAAGAAGAGAAGCACAUUUGGAUCUCACCAGGCAGCUUUCGGGGACACCGCACACUGGAUUCAAGGCGCACUGUCUUCCAGCGUGACCUCCUCUUGGCAAAGAGCCUCUUUCCAAAGACAGUCAUGCCCUGAGGUUCUGGGAGGACAUGCAUUUUGAGGGACGCUGUUUCAGCCACGACGACUGACACCUGCCUGGACACCCACAGGGUGGGCCAGACCCUGCCUCUCCGCACUGGCGGCUGUGCAGGCGUCGGGGACAUGAUGGGGCCCUGGCUGGCUCAGCACCCAGGUCGGAGCUACCAACAUGCUGUCCGCUUCCGUUGGAUGGGGCAGUGACAGGCCAUGCUGGACGCAGUGCCCGACGACAACGGACAGACAGAGGGACAGGGCGCAGCCCGGCAGCUUGCCCCGCGCCAGCCCUGCAGCUGCGCGGCAGCCACAAUGGACUGAGGGGCAUUGAUGGGGACACAGUCGGCCCCUGAUAGCUCGCUAAUGGCGCUUCGGGUUUUCUGGGGGAGAAGAAUUGUGUGAGUGUGAAGACCCGGUGGGGGUGAAGGCCCUUGGUGAAGAGCCUUGCGCCCGCCCCUUAAAGGAACAAGGCGGGUUUUUUUCCCCCCUUUUUCCAUGUGGCACAGACAGCUGGCUCCUUAAAUAUUAAUCAGGGGUUAUUGAGAUGCAAAUGUGUGCCCACCACAGAAAGGCCCCAGCUGCAGGGCUGGCGCCGAGUGCCCUCCUCGGCCCAGGUGCGGCGCCCGCCAGAGCCAGCGCGAGGAGGGGGUGACUCCGGCGACCCUCCCUGAGGACAAAGGCAUGUCUGCUCCUCCUCGGGCGGCGUCCUGCCCUCUCGCUGGCUCAGCCUCAAGGUGUCCUUGCGGGAGCCCGGUGGCCCGCCCGGCCUCUCCUCGUGGGGUGCCUGCCCAGGACCCCGGGCAGCUCAGGACGAGGACAGACGGCACUUGCUAGCGUGGAAAAUGGGGGUGGGGAGGGAUGGCAGCGGGCAGGGGAGAGGCGCGUCAGGACCCGGAGGGGGCGGACGUGCGUUCUGCUUACACUUUGUCACGUGCUGUGAAGGGAUGAUGGUGUGUCCUUUGUAACCAAACACCGGAAAUAAAGUAGGCUCUCCUGCUUGAUGAUGAAAACGUAGAUUUUUCAGUUUAAAAUAUUUU
rnacentral:lncRNA from 1 species